AUUGAACGCUGGCGGCAGGCCUAACACAUGCAAGUCGAGCGGUAGAGAGGUGCUUGCACCUCUUGAGAGCGGCGGACGGGUGAGUAAUGCCUAGGAAUCUGCCUGGUAGUGGGGGAUAACGUUCGGAAACGGACGCUAAUACCGCAUACGUCCUACGGGAGAAAGCAGGGGACCUUCGGGCCUUGCGCUAUCAGAUGAGCCUAGGUAGGAUUAGCUAGUUGGUGAGGUAAUGGCUCAACAAGGCGACGAUCCGUAACUGGUCUUAGAGGAUGAUCAGUCACACUGGAACUGAGACACGGUCCAGACUCCUACGGGAGGCAGCAGUGGGGAAUAUUGGACAAUGGGCGGAAGCCUGAUCCAGCCAUGCCGCGUGUGUGAAGAAGGCCUUUUGGUUGUAAAGCACUUUAAGCGAGGAGGAGGCUCUUAAGGUUAAUACCCUUGAUGAGUGGACGUUACUCGCAGAAUAAGCACCGGCUAACUCUGUGCCAGCAGCCGCUGUAAGAC
rnacentral:rRNA from 1 species